GUCAUAGACGCGAAACCUAGUGAUCUAGGCCUGUCCAGGCUGAAGCUGAGGUAAGACUCAGUGGAGGGCCGAACUCACCGCCGUUGAAAAGUUGGGAGAUGAGGCAGGUUUAGGGGUGAAAAGCCAAUCGAACUAGGAGAUAGCUCGUUCUCUCCGAAAUGCAUUUAGGUGCAGCCUUGGUUGAAGAUAUGCGGGGGUAGAGCACUGUAUGGCCUAGGGGGCGUAUAGCUUACCGAAGUCAAGCAAACUUCGAAUACCGUAUAUUGUUAACUGGGAGUGAGUCUAUGGAUGACAAGGUCCAUGGACGAGAGGGGAACAGCCCAGACCGCCAGCUAAGGUCCCUAAUUAUGUCUAAGUGGGAAAGGAGGUGGAUAUUCACAGACAACCAGGAGGUUGGCUUAGAAGCAGCCAUACCUUGAAAGAGUGCGUAAUAGCUCACUGGUCGAGAGUAUCUGCGCCGAAGAUAUAACGGGGCUAAGACAUGAACCGAAGCCGCGGAAUUAGUUUAUGCUAAUUGGUAGGAGAGCGUUCUGUAGGCCGUAGAAGGGGUGUUGUAAGACAUUCUGGAGGUAUCAGAAGUGAGAAUGCAGGAAUGAGUAGCGAGAAGGAGGGCGAGAAUCCCUCCGGCCGGAAGUCCAAGGUUUCCAGGGGAAGGUUUGUCCGCCCUGGGGGAGUCGGGACCUAAGCAUAAGCAGAGCUGCGAAGGCGAAUGGAAAACAGGUUAAUAUUCCUGUACCGCUGUGUACUGUCUGAGAGAUGGAGUGACGCAGGAAGGUAUGCGGGAAGGCUGACGGAAUAGCCUUUCUAAGGGUGAAGCGUGGACAUGCAGGCAAAUCCGCAUGUUUAUACGUGAGGCCUGAUGGGGAAGUGCCAUAUGGCAUAAGCCGCAGAUCCUACACUGCCGGGAAAAACUUCUAUUGAGGGAAGCAGCGCCCGUACUGUAAACCGACACAGGUGGACAGAGUGAGAAACUUAAGGCCGACAGGAUAACUCUAGCUAAGGAACUCUGCAAAAUAGCCCCGUAACUUCGGGAGAAGGGGUGCCUGAUAUACCUGAAAGGAGAAACACCUCAAGGGGAAACAGGCCGCAGUGAAGAGUCCCAAGCAACUGUUUACCAAAAACACAGGUCUAUGCUAAGCUGAAAGGCGACGUAUAUGGGCUGACACCUGCCCAGUGCCGGAAGGUUAAGAGGAGGAUUGAGAGAUUCGAAUUGAAGCCCCGGUGAACGGCGGCCGUAACUAUAACGGUCCUAAGGUAGCGAAAUUCCUUGUCGGGUAAGUUCCGACCUGCACGAAUGGUGAAAUGAUUUGGGAGCUGUCUUGGCCGGAGACCUGGUGAAGUUGUAAUGCCGGUGAAGAUACCGGUUACCUGCAGUAGGACGGAAAGACCCCGUGGAGCUUUACUGUAGCCUGGCAUUGGGUUCUGGCAAUGUGUGUAUAGGAUAGCUGGGAGGCAAUGAUGGUAUGGCGUCAGCCGUACCGGAGCCGCUGUUGGAAUACCAGCCAUGCAUUGUUGGGAUUCUAAUCUCAAGAGAUGGGAGACAGUGCUAGGUGGGCAGUUUGACUGGGGCGGUCGCCUCCAAAAGAGUAACGGAGGCGUUCAAAGGUUCCCUCAGGCUGGAUGGAAAUCAGCCUAA
rnacentral:rRNA from 1 species